GGAGUCUGGGCCGUGUCUCAGUCCCAAUGUGGCCGUUCAACCUCUCAGUCCGGCUACUGAUCGUCGACUUGGUGAGCCGUUACCUCACCAACUAUCUAAUCAGACGCGAGGCCAUCUCUCAGCGGAUUGCUCCUUUGGCUUCCGUAUCAUGCGGUACAAAAGCGUUAUGCGGUAUUAGCGUUCGUUUCCAAACGUUAUCCCCCUCUGAGAGGCAGGUUCCUCACGCGUUACUCACCCAUCCGCCACUAACUUUCAUCCCCGAAGGGAAUCAGUCCGUUCGACUUGCAUGUGUUAGGCACGCCGCCAGCGUUCGUCCUGAGCCACUGAUCAAACUACU
rnacentral:rRNA from 1 species